rnacentral:rRNA from 1 species
GAUGAACGCUGGCGGUGCGCCUAAUACAUGCAAGUCGUACGCAUUCCCGUUUUUGAUUGAAGGUGCUUACACCUGAUUGAUAAAACAUCGGAAUGAGUGGCGGACGGGUGAGUAACACGUGGGUAACCUGCCCAGAAGUGGGGGAUAACAUUUGGAAACAGAUGCUAAUACCGCAUAAUAGAUAGAACCACAUGGUCUAUUUGUAAGAAUGGCCGUUUCGUUGCUAUUCU